GUUGGUGGGGUAAUGGCUCACCAAGCCAAUGAUCGGUAGCCGACCUGAGAGGGUGAUCGGCCACACUGGAACUGAGAGACGGUCCAGACUCCUACGGGAGGCAGCAGUGGGGAAUAUUGGGCAAUGGGGGAAACCCUGACCCAGCAACGCCGCGUGAGGGAAGAAGGUUUUCGGAUUGUAAACCUCUGUCCUUGGUGAAGAGCAGAAGACGGUAGCCAAGGAGGAAGCCCCGGCUAACUACGUGCCAGCAGCCGCGGUAAUACGUAGGGGGCGAGCGUUGUCCGGAAUGAUUGGGCGUAAAGGGCGCGUAGGCGGCUUGUUAAGUCUGGAGUGGAAGUCCUCUUUUCAAGGGAGGAAUUGCUUUGGAAACUGGCGGGCUUGAGUGCAGGAGAGGUUAUCGGAAUUCCCGGUGUAGCGGUGAAAUGCGUAGAGAUCGGGAGGAACACCAGUGGCGAAGGCGGGUAACUGGACUGCAACUGACGCUGAGGCGCGAAAGUGUGGGGAGCAAACAGGAUUAGAUACCCUGGUAGUCCACACUGUAAACGAUGAGUGCUAGGUGUAGGAGGUAUCGACCCCUUCUGUGCCGGAGUAAACGCAAUAA
rnacentral:rRNA from 1 species